GGAGAGUGGCGCACGGGUGAGUAACACAUGGCUGACCUGCCCUUCAGCGGGGGACAACCGGGGGAAACUUCGGCUAAUACCCCAUACGUUGGCGCGGACUAGAAGCGCGUCAAGAAACCUCCGGGGCUGUAGGAGGGGGCUGUGGCCCAUCAGCUAGUUGGUGCGGUAACGGCGCACCAAGGCGAGGACGGGUAGGGGGCCUGAGAGGGUGACCCCCCACACGGGGACUGAGACACGGCCCCGACUCCUACGGGAGGCAGCAGUAAGGGAUAUUGCGCAAUGGGCGAAAGCCUGACGCAGCAACGCCGCGUGCGGGAGGACGGCCUUCGGGUUGUAAACCGCUUUUCGAGGGGAAGAGGAAGGACGGUACCCUCGGAAGAAGUCUCGGCUAACUACGUGCCAGCAGCCGCGGUAAAACGUAGGAGGCGAGCGUUAUCCGGAUUUUACUGGGUGUAAAGCGCGUGCAGGCGGACUGGUAAGUCGCGCGUGAAAACGCCCAGGCUCAACCG
rnacentral:rRNA from 1 species